rnacentral:rRNA from 1 species
CCUACGGGUGACAGCAGUGAGGAAUAUUGGUCAAUGGACGAGAGUCUGAACCAGCCAAGUAGCGUGAAGGAUGACUGCCCUAUGGGUUGUAAACUUCUUUUAUAUGGGAAUAAAACGUUCCACGUGUGGGAUUUUGUAUGUACCAUAUGAAUAAGGAUCGGCUAACUCCGUGCCAGCAGCCGCGGUAAUACGGAGGAUCCGAGCGUUAUCCGGAUUUAUUGGGUUUAAAGGGAGCGUAGGUGGAUUGUUAAGUCAGUUGUGAAAGUUUGCGGCUCAACCGUAAAAUUGCAGUUGAAACUGGCAGUCUUGAGUACAGUAGAGGUGGGCGGAAUUCGUGGUGUAGCGGUGAAAUGCUUAGAUAUCACGAAGAACUCCGAUUGCGAAGGCAGUUCACUGGACUGCAACUGACACUGAGGCUCGAAAGUGUGGGUAUCAAACAGGAUUAGAUACCCCUGAGUC